rnacentral:lncRNA from 1 species
GGCGGGCGUCCCUUGCUGGGGCUCCGCGCCCGGCUCGACAGAGCGGGCGUGGGGCGGGCGCCGAGGGCACUGGGGGCCGAGGCCGAGUCCCCGCCCGCUGUCCCCUCGCCCUCCUUCCGAGAAGUUUGCCGUUCGACCUUGCAGAUGGAAACGACGGCGUUCAGACGAGGGCGUCGCCCGCCCAGGCUCCCGGGAGCGAGGGCAUCGGGGCUGCCCGGAAUCGGAUUCCUCGGCGGAUUACGCGGCCCAGUCGGCACGCGAGGCGGGCCCCGGGCGACCAGGAAGCCCCCGGCGCGCACGAAAGCAGCGAGGGCGGAGGUUGGGGGGGCUGGGGGCGGGGCGGCCGCGUUGCGUGACCUGCAAGCCGGCGGCCGCACGCACUUCGUGCUCCGGGCGGCCCUCGCCCCGCGGGCGGCGCAGGUGCCGCUGGAGGCCGGCGCCCGGCUGCCACUUUACAGCCCCGGCGGGGAGGGCAGUCACGCUAUAUUUCAGGGACUGGGACGGAGUUCGCGGAAUCUCCUUGUUAUCGGAACGUGGGUAGCGUUGGGUAAUAACCGCUCGGACAGGAUGUAGGAAGCGCAGUGGGAACAGAGCUGUCCCGUCUAAUGGGCAGUAAUGGAGUGGAGAAAUAGAAAGAAGGAGAAAGGUGAAAAAUGUGGAAAGAGAUAAAGGGAAAGACUAAGAUCAACAGAGAACCAAGAAAAAAUUUUUUUAAAAAAAUACAGGGUUUUGAUCAGUGAUGGACCACUGUUGAUCUAGGCAUGCUGGUAUGUCUGCAAUCCCAGCGACUUCAGAGGCCUACACAGGGAAGAUCGAAGGUUUGAAGCCAGCCUGAGCAAUUGAGCAAGAACCAGUCUCAAAUUAAAAUCAAAAGGGGUG